rnacentral:misc_RNA from 1 species
AAGCUGUUCAGCCAGACGAGCCUCGUGCCUGAGUUUGUAAAGUACAACUCAUAAAAACUUGAUUCGAUGCAGUUGUGCUUCCUUUGUGUCAAUGGAAAGGUUUCGUCCUUCUAUUUGAAGUCGAGUAGAGGAGAGGAACACACCUUUGUUCAUGCAUUGUUGAGUUUGUCAAUGGAAGUGUUCCAGUCAGUUACUAAAUAGGAUUCAAAGUGUGUUUUAUGAUUUCCCA